UACAGAGGGGGCGAGCGUUGUUCGGAAUUACUGGGCGUAAAGGGCGCGUAGGCGGCCAACUAAGUCAGACGUGAAAUCCCUCGGCUCAACCGGGGAACUGCGUCUGAUACUGGAUGGCUUGAAUUCGGGAGAGGGAUGCGGAAUUCCAGGUGUAGCGGUGAAAUGCGUAGAUAUCUGGAGGAACACCGGUGGCGAAGGCGGAUCUCUGGGCCAGUACUGACACUGAGGAGCGAAAGCGUGGGUAGCAAACAGG
rnacentral:rRNA from 1 species